rnacentral:rRNA from 1 species
CAAAGGAAUUGACGGGGGCCCGCACAAGCAGUGGAGUAUGUGGUUUAAUUCGAAGCAACGCGAAGAACCUUACCAGGGCUUGACAUCCUCGGACGACACUAGAGAUAGUGUUUUCUCUUCGGAGACUGAGAGACAGGUGGUGCAUGGUUGUCGUCAGCUCGUGUCGUGAGAUGUUCGGUUAAGUCCGGCAACGAGCGCAACCCUUAUUGUUAGUUGCCAUCAUUUAGUUGGGCACUCUAGCGAGACUGCCGUUGACAAAACGGAGGAAGGUGGGGACGACGUCAAAUCAUCAU